AGCGAACGCUGGCGGCAGGCCUAACACAUGCAAGUCGAACGAACCUUCCGGGGUUAGUGGCGGACGGGGGAGGAACACGUGGGAACGUGCCUGUAGGUUCGGAAUAACUGACUGAAACAUGUGCUAAUAACGCAGGUGCUCAUCGGGGGAAAGAUUAAUCGCCUUUGGAGCGGCCCGGGUCAGUUUAGCUAGUUGGGUGUGGUAAUGCCACGCCACGGCGUCGAUCAGGAGCUGGUGUGGGAACAUGCUUAGCCACAUUGGGGCUGAGACACGGCCCCCACUGCUACGCAACGCAGCAGUGGGGAGUCUUGCGGAAUGGACGAUAGCCUAACGCCGCCAUGCCGGGUAAAUGAUGCAGGUCUUAGGAUUGUAAAAUUCUUUGAGCGGAAGCGAUAAUGACGGUAACCGGAAAAGAAGCCCCGGCUAACUACGUG
rnacentral:rRNA from 1 species